UACGUAGGUGGCAAGCGUUGUCCGGAUUUACUGGGCGUAAAGAGCGCGCAGGCGGUCGUCCAAGUCGCGUGUGAAAGCCCCCGGCUCAACUGGGGAGGGUCACGCGAUACUGGUCGACUCGAAGGCAGGAGAGGGUAGUGGAGUUCCCGGUGUAGUGGUGAAAUGCGUAGAUAUCGGGAGGAACACCAGUGGCGAAGGCGACUACCUGGCCUGUUCUUGACGCUGAGGCGCGAAAGCUAGGGGAGCAAACGGG
rnacentral:rRNA from 1 species